rnacentral:lncRNA from 1 species
UAGAAAAUUGGAGGUCGAAAGAACAUAUAGCUUUUUCUGCAAGCAUACCAGCUACAUCAAAUAGCCUCUCAGAUCAUCAGACAGUUGUUUAUUCUAAGGUAUUUAUACACAUUUUUCUUUUCCAAUGUAAGAAGAAAGAGCCGACACAAAUAUCAAUGUAUAAUAAUUAGGUCAUAUAUAUUUUCUUGGUGUCCUCCCACAUCCAUUUUAUGCACAUUAUUAGAAAAAACUAAUAAAUAGUGUGUGCUCACUGUUAAGUUGUUAUCGACGAUUAUUUGUAUAAAAUUAACAAUAGCGCAAAACACGAGCGCAUACCUUAUUAAUUUCUUACGCAUUUACAUGUGCAUUUAAAAAAAAAACUUUAUGUGUUUCAUAACCUAAAUCGAUAAACAAACUCUAUCACGUUGACUGUAAUUUAAGGUGGUACCCAACACUUUCACUAAGAUUUAUUUGGCUCGUUUAAUUUUCAUAAAAUUAUGACAAAGUAAUUACUUUGACCUUUAAACAAAAAUAUAAAAAUUUCAAAAAUUUUGAGCCAACCGUUUUGUCAGAAAAAUUACACUGGUUAUAUAGUAGUUUGACAAGCACAAAUUUUGAUUAUUGAGAAGCUUAAAAUUCCCUUUACAACACAACGUAAUUAAAACGUUAAGCUGAUUUUACAGAGUUUUCUCCCUGUAGUGUUAGGUACCACCUUAACAGAUAAUUCAUAAUCAAUGACAGGAAAUUACUGACACAAGUUCAAGUUAUAACCCAUCAGAUGGUAUUUUCACUGUUCCUGUCUCUGGUGUGUAUGUAUUUACUUGGUCUGCUUCUUCUGGUGAAGGACGCUGGCAAGAUACAGAACUUGUUGUUGAUAGUUCACCAUACAGAUCUUUGUCAGCAGAUUCUAAUGAAGAGGAAUAUUUUGGGAGUGCAGCACAAACCGUCGUUUGGGAGGUUUGUUAAUGAACUGUUAUCACAUUUUGUCAUUUAAACAAAAGAUAUAGGAUUAUGUGUUAUGGAUGCCAAUGAGACGACUUUCCAUCUAAGUAUCAAUUAAUAAAAGUAAACCAUUGUAGGACAAGCAACGACAUUCAACAAAAAGCUGUGGUUUACACGGAACAGCAAGCUAUAGAGAGCCAAACAAAUUACUGAUAAAAAUUCAAAUCUAUAUAAAAACAAAAAACGAUAAACACUAAUGAACCACGUUAUAAACAGGCAACAACAUUUAUACAAAAUAAGAUGUGGUAUGAUUGCCAUUGAGACAACUAUACAUAAAAGGCCAUAAUGACAAAAACAUUAACAACUAUAUGUCGCCGUACGGCCUUCAACAAUGAGCAAAGCCCAUUCCGCAUAGUCAGUUAUAAAAGGCCCCGAUAAGACAAUGUGAAACAAUUCAAACGAGAAAACUAACGGCCUUAUUUAUGUUACAAAAUGAACGAAAAACAAACAUGUUAAAAGUGUCCUGUCCAAGCAGGAAAUGUCAUUGAUAUAUUGUUCGUUUCUCUUUGUGUUGCAUUUUAACUGAGUCGUUUGUGUUUUCUCUUAUUUUGAGAAUUGAGAUAAGUGGCACGGUACUUGUCUAUCCCAAAUUCAUGUAUUUGGUUUUCAUGUUACAUUGUUAUUCUGUGGUGUUUUGUCUGAUUGGUCUUUUCUGUGUGUUGCGUUUCGAUGUGUUGUUCUCCUCUUAUAUUAAUGCGUUUCGCUCGGUUUUGGUUUGUUACCCCGAUUUUGUUUUUUGUCCAUGGAUUUAUGAGUUUUGAACAGCGGUAUACUACUGUUGCCUUUAUGUAACAGAAAAACAAACGACAACCAUUGAAUUACAGGCAUUUGUAGAGUGUACUGUUAUAGAUUGCCUUUGAUGAUAUGAAAAACUAAUAUAAUUAUUGGUAGUUGCUUCUCCUCUUGGUUACAACGUCGGUUACUUCUUUAAUGUUAAUAUAUGUAUACUUGUCUUCAUACAUAAUAAAACAGCUCUCUUCAUUUAUUUUGGGGGAUACAUUUCAUAUAAUUUUUUUGUCUAGAAUAAAAGAAAUAGAACACCUACUCCAUGCUCUUGUAUGCAAUAGAUUUAAUAACAGAGAUAAAACUUGAGUGUGUUAAAGUUAGUUUAUCUGAUAAUAUGUUGCAGGUAAAGAAAUCUCAGCGUGUUUGGGUACGGAUAAAAGGGAGAUAUACAAGAGAACUUGUCGGCGAUAACAUCAAUACUUUUUCAGGUUGGAUACUACAUACAACAGUGUAAACCUGUUUUGGGUA